CCCUUAGAUGUUCUGGGCCGCACGCGUGCUACACUGAGUGGAUCAGCGGGUCAGGUUGCGCGAAAGUGUUUCCUAAUCUUGAAAUCCGCUCGUGAUGGGGAUUGACGGUUGCAAUUUUCCGUCAUGAACGAGGAAUACCUUGUAAGCGCGGGUCAUCAUCCCGCGCUGAAUACGUCCCUGCCCUUUGUACACACCGCCCGUCGCUCCUACCGAUUGAGUGGUCCGGUGAGGCUUUGGGAUCUGAGCGGAAAGAGCGUUUCGCUGUUUCUGCUCGGAAAACUCAGUCGAACCUUAUCAUUUAUAGGAAGGAGAAGUCGUAACA
rnacentral:rRNA from 1 species